AUUGAACGCUGGCGGCAUGCCUUAUACAUGCAAGUCGAACGGCAGCACGGGAGCAAUCCUGGUGGCGAGUGGCGAACGGGUGAGUAAUACAUCGGAACGUGCCCAAUCGUGGGGGAUAACGCAGCGAAAGCUGUGCUAAUACCGCAUAAGAUCUACGGAUGAAAGCAGGGGAUCGCAAGACCUUGCGCGAAUGGAGCGGC
rnacentral:rRNA from 1 species